rnacentral:rRNA from 1 species
UACGGAGGGAGCUAGCGUUGUUCGGAAUUACUGGGCGUAAAGCGCACGUAGGCGGCUUUGCAAGUUAGAGGUGAAAGCCCGGGGCUCAACUCCGGAAUUGCCUUUAAAACUGCAUCGCUAGAGUUGUGGAGAGGUAAGUGGAAUUCCGAGUGUAGAGGUGAAAUUCGUAGAUAUUCGGAGGAACACCAGUGGCGAAAGCGACUUUCUGGGACGUUCCUGACGCUGAGGUUCGAAAGCUCGGGGAGCAAACAGG